AUACUCACCAGGCGUAGGGGAUACCGUGAUCAUGCAGGCGGUUCCCCCAGGGCGAGGCUGCUCCAUCCAUUGCACUGCGGAGUGGUUGACCGUUGCGUUUAUUUUUAAAAAUAAAAAAAUCAUAAUAAAAAAUGUAUACCCGAAUAAUUAUUAUUUAUGCUUCGAAGAGAACUUAAAAUUAAUAUUUUUA
rnacentral:snRNA from 9 species